GAUGAACGCUAGCGGCAGGCUUAACACAUGCAAGUCGAGGGGUAUAGUUCUUCGGAGCUAGAGACCGGCGCACGGGUGCGUAACGCGUAUGCAAUCUACCUUUUGCAGAGGGAUAGCCCAGAGAAAUUUGGAUUAAUACCUCAUAGUAUGUGAGAAUGGCAUCAUUUUCACAUUAAAGUCACAACGGCAAAAGAUGAGCAUGCGUCCCAUUAGCUUGUUGGUAAGGUAACGGCUUACAAAGGCAACGAUGGGUAGGGGUCCUGAGAGGGAGCUCCCCCACACUGGUACUGGGACACGGACCAGACACCUACGGGAGGCAGCAGUGAGGAAUAUUGGACAAUGGGCGCAAGCCUGAUCCAGCCAUGCCGCGUGCAGGAUGACGGUCCUAUGGAUUGUAAACUGCUUUUGUACAGGAAGAAACACUGGUUCGUGAACCAGCUUGACGGUACUGUAAGAAUAAGGAUCGGCUAACUCCGUGCCAGCAGCCGCCGUAAUAC
rnacentral:rRNA from 1 species